rnacentral:rRNA from 1 species
GGGUUGUGAGGUUAAGCGACUAAGCGUACACGGUGGAUGCCCUGGCAGUCAGAGGCGAUGAAGGACGUGCUAAUCUGCGAAAAGCGUCGGUAAGGUGAUAUGAACCGUUAUAACCGGCGAUGUCCGAAUGGGGAAACCCAGUGCAAUUCGUUGCACUAUCGUUAACUGAAUACAUAGGUUAACGAGGCGAACCGGGGGAACUGAAACAUCUAAGUACCCCGAGGAAAAGAAAUCAACCGAGAUUCCCCCAGUAGCGGCGAGCGAACGGGGAGCAGCCCAGAGUCUGAAUCAGCUUGUGUGUUAGUGGAACGGUCUGGAAAGUCCGACGGUACAGGGUGAUAGUCCCGUACACCAAAAUGCACAGGUUGUGAACUCGAAGAGUAGGGCGGGACACGUGGUAUCCUGUCUGAAUAUGGGGGGACCAUCCUCCAAGGCUAAAUACUCCUGACUGACCGAUAGUGAACCAGUACCGUGAGGGAAAGGCGAAAAGAACCCCGGCGAGGGGAGUGAAAAAGAACCUGAAACCGUGUACGUACAAGCAGUGGGAGCACCUUCGGGUGUGACUGCGUACCUUUUGUAUAAUGGGUCAGCGACUUAUAUUCUGUAGCAAGGUUAACCGUAUAGGGGAGCCGCAGGGAAACCGAGUCUUAACUGGGCGUUAAGUUGCAGGGUAUAGACCCGAAACCCGGUGAUCUAGCCAUGGGCAGGUUGAAGGUUGGGUAACACUAACUGGAGGACCGAACCGACUAAUGUUGAAAAAUUAGCGGAUGACUUGUGGCUGGGGGUGAAAGGCCAAUCAAACCGGGAGAUAGCUGGUUCUCCCCGAAAGCUAUUUAGGUAGCGCCUCGUGAAUUCAUCUUCGGGGUAGAGCACUGUUUCGGCUAGGGGGUCAUCCCGACUUACCAACCCGAUGCAAACUACGAAUACCGAAGAAUGUUAUCACGGGAGACACACGGCGGGUGCUAACGUCCGUCGUGAAGAGGGAAACAACCCAGACCGCCAGCUAAGGUCCCAAAGUCAUGGUUAAGUGGGAAACGAUGUGGGAAGGCACAGACAGCCAGGAUGUUGGCUUAGAAGCAGCCAUCAUUUAAAGAAAGCGUAAUAGCUCACUGGUCGAGUCGGCCUGCGCGGAAGAUGUAACGGGGCUAAACCAUGCACCGAAGCUGCGGCAGCGACACUAUGUGUUGUUGGGUAGGGGAGCGUUCUGUAAGCCUGCGAAGGUGACCUGUGAGGGUUGCUGGAGGUAUCAGAAGUGCGAAUGCUGACAUAAGUAACGAUAAAGCGGGUGAAAAGCCCGCUCGCCGGAAGACCAAGGGUUCCUGUCCAACGUUAAUCGGGGCAGGGUGAGUCGACCCCUAAGGCGAGGCCGAAAGGCGUAGUCGAUGGGAAACAGGUUAAUAUUCCUGUACUUGGUGUUACUGCGAAGGGGGGACGGAGAAGGCUAUGUUAGCCGGGCGACGGUUGUCCCGGUUUAAGCAUGUAGGCUGGUUAUCCAGGCAAAUCCGGAUAAUCAAGGCUGAGGUGUGAUGACGAGGCACUACGGUGCUGAAGUAACAAAUGCCCUGCUUCCAGGAAAAGCCUCUAAGCAUCAGGUAACAUCAAAUCGUACCCCAAACCGACACAGGUGGUCAGGUAGAGAAUACCAAGGCGCUUGAGAGAACUCGGGUGAAGGAACUAGGCAAAAUGGUGCCGUAACUUCGGGAGAAGGCACGCUGGUGUGUAGGUGAAGCCCCUGCGGGUGGAGCUGAGACCAGUCGAAGAUACCAGCUGGCUGCAACUGUUUAUUAAAAACACAGCACUGUGCAAACACGAAAGUGGACGUAUACGGUGUGACGCCUGCCCGGUGCCGGAAGGUUAAUUGAUGGGGUUAUCCGUAAGGAGAAGCUCUUGAUCGAAGCCCCGGUAAACGGCGGCCGUAACUAUAACGGUCCUAAGGUAGCGAAAUUCCUUGUCGGGUAAGUUCCGACCUGCACGAAUGGCGUAAUGAUGGCCAGGCUGUCUCCACCCGAGACUCAGUGAAAUUGAACUCGCUGUGAAGAUGCAGUGUACCCGCGGCAAGACGGAAAGACCCCGUGAACCUUUACUAUAGCUUGACACUGAACAUUGAGCCUUGAUGUGUAGGAUAGGUGGGAGGCUUUGAAGCGUGGACGCCAGUCUGCGUGGAGCCAACCUUGAAAUACCACCCUUUAAUGUUUGAUGUUCUAACGUUGGCCCCUGACCGGGGUUGCGGACAGUGUCUGGUGGGUAGUUUGACUGGGGCGGUCUCCUCCCAAAGCGUAACGGAGGAGCACGAAGGUUAGCUAAUCCUGGUCGGACAUCAGGAGGUUAGUGCAAUGGCAUAAGCUAGCUUGACUGCGAGCGUGACGGCGCGAGCAGGUGCGAAAGCAGGUCAUAGUGAUCCGGUGGUUCUGAAUGGAAGGGCCAUCGCUCAACGGAUAAAAGGUACUCCGGGGAUAACAGGCUGAUACCGCCCAAGAGUUCAUAUCGACGGCGGUGUUUGGCACCUCGAUGUCGGCUCAUCACAUCCUGGGGCUGAAGUAGGUCCCAAGGGUAUGGCUGUUCGCCAUUUAAAGUGGUACGCGAGCUGGGUUUAGAACGUCGUGAGACAGUUCGGUCCCUAUCUGCCGUGGGCGCUGGAGAAUUGAGGGGGGCUGCUCCUAGUACGAGAGGACCGGAGUGGACGCAUCACUGGUGUUCGGGUUGUCAUGCCAAUGGCACUGCCCGGUAGCUAAAUGCGGAAGAGAUAAGUGCUGAAAGCAUCUAAGCACGAAACUUGCCCCGAGAUGAGUUCUCCCUGAGACUUUAAGUCUCCUGAAGGAACGUUAAAGACGAUGACGUUGAUAGGCCGGGUGUGUAAGCGCAGCGAUGCGUUGAGCUAACCGGUACUAAUGAACCGUGAGGCUUAACCUUACAACGCCGAAG